rnacentral:rRNA from 1 species
AUACGUAGGUGACAAGCGUUAUCCGGAUUUACUGGGCGUAAAGGGCGUGUAGGCGGUCUUGCAAGUCAGAAGUGAAAUUCCUGAGCUCAACUCGGGCGCUGCUUCUGAAACUGCAGGACUUGUGUGCUGGAGGGGAUAGCGGAAUUCCUAGUGGAGCGGUAAAAUGCGCAGAUAUAAGGAAGAACACCGGUGGCGAAGGCGGAUAUCUGUACAGAAACAGACGCUGAGGCGCGAAAACGUGGGGAGAAAACAGGAGUUGAUACCCUGGAAGUCCACGCCGUAAACGAUGAAUUCUAGGUGUAGGGGGUAUCGACUCCCUCUGUGCCGCAGUUAACACAAUUAGUAUUCCGCCUGGGGAGUACGGCCGCAAGGUUGAAACUUAAAUGAAUUGACGGGG